AUGGCUUUUAAUGAAACUGUGACAAUAAAACUAUGAAAAAGAAAAAAAAUCUGUUCUUAUCAGUUUAAUAUCUGAUACGUCCCCUACCUGGGGACUACAUAUUAAAAUGAUUUUUGGAUCAAUUUUGGAUUUUUGCUCUGUCCACUCCACGCAUCGGCCUGGUAUUGCAGUGUCUCCAGGAACGGUGUGCUUCCC
ensembl:snRNA U2 U2 spliceosomal RNA